rnacentral:rRNA from 1 species
ACAUCGCCUCUUGUUCAUUUAAAUAUAAGAGGUCCCGCCUGCCCCGUGACUAUAUGUUUAACGGCUGCGGUAUUUUGACCGUGCAAAGGUAGCGUAAUCACUUGUCUUUUAAAUGAAGACCUGUAUGAAUGGCACAACGAGGGCCUAACUGUCUCCUUUUUCCAGUCAAUGAAAUUGAUCUUCCCGUGCAGAAGCGGGAAUGCUAACAUAAGACGAGAAGACCCUAUGGAGCUUUAGACACCAGAACAGCCCAUGCUAAACAUCCCCUAAACAGAGGACGAAACCAAUUGGCCCCCUGCUYUAAUGUCUUUGGUUGGGGCGACCGCGGGGAAACAAAAAACCCCCAUGUGGACUGAGAGCACACUACCCCUUACAACCCAGAGUUACACCUCCAAGCAACAGAAUUUCUGACCAACAAGACCCGGCGCAUAGCCGAUCAACGGACCGAGUUACCCUAGGGAUAACAGCGCAAUCCUCUUUUAGAGUCCCUAUCGACAAGAGGGUUUACGACCUCGAUGUUGGAUCAGGACAUCCUAAUGGU